CGGUGGCGCGAGCGGUCGGCGGUUGGAGAGCCGGGGCUCGCGCUCCUCAGCUGUUUUUCGGGGCUGGCCCUGCGGCCGGUUGCCGCGCAUGCGCCACGCCCUCGGGCGGCGGUUUCGAACGCCGGAGCCGGGCGUCGGUUUGAACAGGAAAAGCCGCGUGCGGUCGCGGUUGUCGGCGCCGGGGAGCCUGAUGGGGCGGGCAAUGGGCGCAAGGAUCUCCUAAUUAUCUUUCAAAGAGACAAAUCCAUGUGCAGUUAAUUCUCCAGUAAAUUGCAAAUAACUAAAGUGAGACCUUCAGCAAAAAUGCCUGACAGGAGCCAGACUUCGUUUGCUCAAAAGUCUAAGCAAACAGCCUCAACUGUUUGGAUGCAACCCAGACUUGUGUCUCAGAGGCCCACUCAGCCAAAGCUUCACGACAUGCAUAAACAUCGCAUGUCAUGGAUCAGUGUGUCGCGUUACAAAAUGUCUCAUUUAAGCUUAAUGGAGCAAGUACAUACGGAGUUAAGAGAUUUGGGUGCCAUUGAAAUCAUGAUUGGAAUGAUUGAGAUGAUGUUUGGCAUUCCACUGAUUUUUGCAGAAAGCUAUUCAUUCCCUGCAAUUAUUGGAGUCCCCUGGUUUACAGGAUUUUGGUAUGUGGUGGCGGGAUCCUUGACAGUUCAUUUAGUAUAUUCCAGACGUCCCGUAGGCGUGCAGAGGUUUCCUUGGAAAGAAGAUCUGCAUAGCAUGGAGGAAAAUGUGAUAGAAGUCGCAACUGAACUAGAUGGGCAAUAUUCAUGAUCCACCUGAUCACUGCAAAUUUUGCAGUAGCAGGAUGUGUGAUAUUUAAUCUCUCACUCUUUUACUUGCCAACAACGCCAUUCAACUUUUUUAUGGCAGCACCAAUGAUCAAUGCAGCAUUCCUCAUGAUCUUCUCUGUGGUGGAGUUCAUCAUAUCUUGUUUAAUUUGUUAUCUUCAUAUCAAGCUCUUACGCUCCAGUCGAUGAGGGAGAGUUCUACAGAGCUAAGAGUUCGAAGAGCUGUACAACUGUCGUGCUUAAUGGAGAAAAGCAGACAGAAGGAACGUGAUGCAAAACUAAACACCAGUACAUUAAUGAUUUGGUCUGGCUCUGGACAACCGUGUAAAGUUUCUCUGGAAGAUCAUCAUACUGGCAAUAUAAUUACAGCAACCCUGAACCCCUUGCAUCAGAGUUAGUAGGAAUUAGUGGCAUGUUCGAGCAGAGAUUGUUAAAUGGACUGGAGAUACAGCCUGAGGACUGGCAGCACUCAGAAAGCAUAGCCAUUUGAAAACUCAUCUUUCAACCCCAGAAGGUAAAGAGAAUCAUGUCAAAUAAGAAAUGUUCCACUCCAUCACACCUUCAAUUCAGGUUCCCAUUUCUUGCCAUUGAAAGCUGUUCCCUGCUCGUUUUUAUUCAUAUCUAUCUUUGGAGCAAGUACUUUCCCUCUCUUCCCUCCCAGGUUUUCACUCUCCAUCUGAAGAGACAGAUCUAGCCCCAGAGGGUGGAAUCAUAAAAAUGAACCACGAGUUCCUUGUACCCAUGAGAACAUCAAACUGCUCCUCAUUUAGCACCAGUGUUGAUUUGUUCCAUUGGAGGAGAGUAAAUGUGGGAAUGGGAGUAAAAUUGAGAUGGUGCUUGGCUAAGGUUAAGUCAGUUAUGGGGAGCACCUUGAGCAUGGGAUCCUUGUUGCUGACACUGGGUAAUGAAAGGGGUGGAGAGUCCCAAGUAUCUCUGUACCAGCAUCUCUCAAUAAGGAGGCAGAAGGAUGGUCUUCACUGAAGGUUUAUGAUCCUAAGCAUCAGUGAUAAUGGUUCAUUUCACUUUAGGCUUCAUGUGGUCUGAACAUAUUGCUCCAAUAUGAGGAAUUAGAAUUUUUGGCUCCCAAAACUUGAAAGGUUCUGAGGAGAGGGGUGGUGCAAAUGGCAGAGAGAUAAUCAUUAGCCUAUGGACAUUUUAUGCUUGUACCACAGAUAAUCAUUUGUAAUUCUUGCAACAGGCUGGCAGGGCAGGGAUUUGUACAGCGGUAUUGACAAACAGAGAUAGCAAGGUGUGGAGCUGGAUAAACACAGCAGGCCAAGCAGCAUCAGAGG